UACGGGGGGUGCGAGCGUUGUCCGGAAUCACUGGGCGUAGAGGGCGCGUAGGCGGCGCGGGAAGUCAACGGUGAAAGCUUGGGGCUCAACUCCGAGUCGGCCGUCGAUACUCCCGUGCUCGAGCACUGUAGAGGCAGAUGGAAUUCCGGGUGUAGCGGUGGAAUGCGUAGAGAUCCGGAAGAACACCGGUGGCGAAGGCGGUCUGCUGGGCAGUUGCUGACGCUGAUGCGCGACAGCGUGGGGAGCAAACAGG
rnacentral:rRNA from 1 species